rnacentral:misc_RNA from 1 species
GAUGGUUUGAUUCGAUGAAGACCAAAAAACUUUGUAAUCAGUGUAUUCUCGUAUGACCUCACAUGAUGAUGAUAAUCUGGAAGCAUCCGUAGAAGAACCUUAACUUCAGAUUUUCGGAGUGUUUUAAUCAUGAAACGAUCAUCUUGGGACAGAAAGAAGACACUACCACUCUUCCCAGGUGAAGAUAGCUCUCUAAGAGCAUCAUUUCCACAAAUGGACAUC